UUCAAGAAGAAUACAGAGAGGCCAGGAUAGCAAAUCUGAAGGCAGUUGGUUACCGUACUUGGGAUAAGCUCAUUCUCAGGGAAGAUGCUGAUAUUGGCGGAGAAUCCAUUGAUGAAGAUAUUGAUGAAUAUUAGAAAGCAUUAUCCUUAUCCCCUCCAACUAUAUACUCCUAUUUAGUUAACUAGAUUAGGUUCUUAUUUAUUUUGUAUUUAUCAUGUACAUAGUUUAGAAUUAUCUUUCACUGUAUUUUGUGUAUAAAUACACUACCAAUGUAUUCAAUAAAAUGAAACAGAGAAUUUCCUUUUCAUGGUAUCAGAGCCAAACAGUUCACACCUUUUUCAUGGCUGAUUCUAUCUCUUCUCUGCUUCCGCUCAAUACAAUGGUCCAUAUGGUGACCAUCAAACUCACUUCCUCCAAUUUUCUUUUGUGGCGCAGUCAGUUUAUUCCCCUUCUUGAAAGCCAUGAUCUCAUGGGCUUCUUAGACGGAUCAUCCGUUGCUCCUUCUCCUCUCAUUGCCGAAGGAACUGCCCGGGUCCAAAUUCAGCCUACAAGAAAUGGCGUAAUCAGGAUCGUAUGUUGCUCAGCCUCAUCUAUGCUUCCUUGUCUGAGGAGUGUAUGGCCGAGGUUGUCAAUUGUGCUACUGCCCGUGAUGCUUGGUUGACUCUCAAAACAUCAUUUUCUCAUAGCUCCAAGACACGUGAAAUUCAGCUGAAAGACAAACUUCAAUUGCUCUAGCGUGGCUCUCGUAGCGUGGCUAACUGUGCUCGCUCUUUUCGCUCUCUCUGUAACCAACUCUCUGCCAUUGGGAAGUCCGUUGAUGAUAUAGACAAGGUGCAUUGGUUUCUUCGUGGUCUUGGCCCUGAUUAUAAAAAUUUUUCCACCACUAUGCUGUCACAAUGUCCACUGCCUUCCUUCGCCACUAUGGUCUCGCAAGCUCUUAGCCAUGAGCUCUUCUCUCGAUCCAUCCAUGGUGAAGUCCAACAACAAUCUGCUUUCAUUGCCAGCCGCGGCUCCUCCAUUAUUUCUACUGGCCGAAACAAACAUCACUCCUCUUCCAAAAUGCACAGCCGCAACUCUUCCAAAUCUGCUGCUGUUACUUGCCAUUGGUGUGGCAAAGAUAAUUACACAACCAAGAAGUGUUAUAAACUUGGUAAGUUGCUGAAAAAGGCUAAAGAUGGUGGUCUCAUUGAAGCUUUUUCAGCAACCUCUCUUGCAGACUCUCACGACAUCGAGUGGUACACGGAUACAGGGGCGACUUAACAUAUGACUAAUGAUGCAUUGAAUCUUGACUCCUCCAUUCCUUACAAUGGAUUUGGCAACAAGAGCGGUGAUGGGAGUCGGCCGAUGUGAGAAAGACCUCUAUGUACUUGAUCGUGCCCAUGUAAAUUUUUUGUCUUCUGUUGCUCUUUGUAAUAAUCAUGCUACCUCCGUCGUUUGGCAUACACGUUUAGGACAUCCUUCUAUUAUGAUUUUGUCUUCUUUACACAAGCAUGGUGAUAUUUUA